UCUGGAGGAAGGAUGAUCGCUCGCCUUUGGCGAGAGGAAAGUCCAGGCAGCUGAAAGCAGGGUGUCCGCCGUAAGGCGGAGCGGGUAACCGCCAGUCAGAGCCACAGAAACUAUGUCGGCCAACUUACCCUAAAGGUAGUCGGUACGAGUGAAAAGGGGCAAUCCUCCCCGCUGCAACCUCCGAAAGGGUCGUUUGAGGUCGCUUUCCCGAGACCCAAAGUUUGAGGGCUUAGACAGAUGAUCGUCUAAAAACAGAACCUGGCUUACUAGCCUCCAGAAUAU
rnacentral:RNase_P_RNA from 6 species